rnacentral:rRNA from 1 species
UACGUAGGGGGCUAGCGUUGUCCGGAAUCAUUGGGCGUAAAGCGCGUGUAGGCGGCCCGGUAAGUCCGCUGUGAAAGUCGGGGGCUCAACCCUCGGAUGCCGGUGGAUACUGUCGGGCUAGAGUACGGAAGAGGCGAGUGGAAUUCCUGGUGUAGCGGUGAAAUGCGCAGAUAUCAGGAGGAACACCGAUGGCGAAGGCAGGUCUCUGGGCAUUAACUGACGCUGAGGAGCGAAAGCAUGGGGAGCAAACAGG